rnacentral:lncRNA from 10 species
CAGAGCCUUUGACCAUGACUUCCCAAUGCCUAGAAUGCUUCUAUCCUUGUCUUGCCUGUGGAAAUGCUGUUCAUUCAUGUGGCCCCAAGGACAAUGUCCUGUCUUCACAAUCCUGGUUUGAUUUCCAAGGACCCUGAAUUGCAUCUGACGUGUAGUAAAGAUUGGAUGAACAAGUUCCCAAGAAAAUGCAUUAAAAGUGAUUGUGAACUACAGAUGGAAACACACCUCUUUGACCUUUGACAUGUAUCUGUGCCUUGCCAGCUACAGUACUGGGAACUUUCAGGAAAUUAUUCUCUCUUAUACAGAAGUUGGCACAACUUCCAAGUUCAAAGAAACACAGGAUUUUACAUUCAGGAACAUCUGCUUUAAUUUGUGCUUGAAAUAAAGUGUGAAUGUAAACAUCUUUCAAUGAUCUUUCUCUUCUAGGCAUUUCUACAGCACUUAGUGUGGGUCACAAAAUUAACAUAACAUUAUAGAAUGUUUUGCACUAAAGGAUGUUGUCUCACAAUUAAAUUUUAAUGAUGUCUGAAGAGCACCAUAAACAAUACGUGCUAUAGAAAUUCAAAGAAGAAAUUUGGAUUACUUGGGUAACCUAUAAAUAAGCUACAUGGAGAAAGGUAGAUAUGAAACCUGCUAUUGAGAGAUGAGGAUGGAUUGGAUAGUGGCAAGAAAUUUCAGUAAAGGCAAUGACAAUAGCAAAGGUGUAAACAGAGAAAGAGCAAAGCAAGUUCAGAAAUUCACAAGGAAAUAUGUUAAUGAAGUGUGGUGAUGGGACUCAUAAAGAGAAACAUUGACCAAGGCAGGUUCAGAUUAGUGUUGAAUUCCAAGUUGAAUUACAAAAUUUCCUGUAGUAAAUAAACAUGUUUUGAGUAAGUAACAAAAUGAAAAAAAUGUGUAUUAGAAAGAAAGUUUAAUCAAGCAAAGGUAUGAAGCAUGCAGGUCUAGUUACUAAUGUCAAUAUUAUAAUGCUGGAUCUUAAUAAAUGAUUGCUGAAUUUCAAGUAAAUGAAUAUACAGUGAUUCGUAUAAUUUGCAGGAAAAGAAAUUAGUUUCUGAAGUCAAUUAACUCUUCUUCAAUUUGUUUACAUGUUUCACAAUUUUCCAAAAGGUGGUAGCAAUUGACAGAAAGUCAUCAACAGACAGAGGAAAUGAAUGUAGAUGUAGGAUAGAUGCACUUGUCUGAACAUGGCUCUAGGUGGGACUCUGCAGCAUUUUUCUUUCUAGAUACGUCUCUGGAUUCCUGUCACUUUCAAACGUAUCUCUGUCUUUCUAGUGUGAGAAUAUCUAAUUACCAGUGGAGGUAAGUGGAGAAACUCCUUUUGUCAUUCUGUGUUCUGGUGGCUCCUCCUGACUGUUAUAGCCAGACACCUACCCAUAAGGUUUCAAGUAUUUGUUUAUAACCUAACACAUUCUUUAUUCAUUUUUUAAAAAUUGACAAAUAAAAUUUUGUAUAUGUUUAUUGUGUAAGCAUAUUGUUUUGAAAUAUGUACACAUUGUGAAAUGGCUAAAUGGAGCUAAUUAACAUAUGUGUUAUCUUCCACACUUAUUUUUGUGCUGAGAACACUCGCAUGAUCUUACUUACGUGCAGAGUGUUAAAAAGUUGAACUCCUAGAAAUAUGGAGUAAAAAGGUGGUUGCCAGAGACUGGGAGAAGGGAAGAAUGAUUGAGGAGAUGUUUGUCAAAAGAUAAAAUAUUUGAGUUAGAUAGGGGGAGUAAUUCAAC